rnacentral:rRNA from 1 species
GAUGAACGCUGGCGGCGUGCCUAAUACAUGCAAGUAGAACGCUGAAGGGGGAGCUUGCUCUUCUGGAUGAGUUGCGAACGGGUGAGUAACGCGUAGGUAACCUGCCUGGUAGCGGGGGAUAACUAUUGGAAACGAUAGCUAAUACCGCAUGACAACAGUUAUUGCAUGAUAACUGUUUAAAAGGGGCAACUGCUCCACUACCAGAUGGACCUGCGUUGUAUUAGCUAGUUGGUGAGGUAACGACUCACCAAGGCGACGAUACAUAGCCGACCUGAGAGGGGGAUCGGCCAAACUGGGACUGAGACAAGGCCCAGACUCCUACGGGAGGCAGCAGUAGGGAAUCUUCGGCAAUGGACGGAAGUCUGACCGAGCAACGCCGCGUGAGUGAAGAAGGUUUUCGGAUCGUAAAGCUCUGUUGUAAGAGAAGAACGAGUGUGAGAGUGGAAAGUUCACACUGUGACGGUAUCUAACCAGAAAGGGACGGCUAACUACGUG